AGUCGAGCGGGGGAGGUUGCUUCGGUAACUGACCUAGCGGCGGACGGGUGAGUAAUACUUAGGAAUCUGCCUAUUAGUGGGGGACAACGUUUCGAAAGGAACGCUAAUACCGCAUACGUCCUACGGGAGAAAGCAGGGGAUCACUUGUGACCUUGCGCUAAUAGAUGAGCCUAAGUCGGAUUAGCUAGUUGGUGGGGUAAAGGCCUACCAAGGCGACGAUCUGUAGCGGGUCUGAGAGGAUGAUCCGCCACACUGGGACUGAGACACGGCCCAGACUCCUACGGGAGGCAGCAGUGGGGAAUAUUGGACAAUGGGGGGAACCCUGAUCCAGCCAUGCCGCGUGUGUGAAGAAGGCCUUAUGGUUGUAAAGCACUUUAAGCGAGGAGGAGGAGCUCUUGGUUAAUACCCAAGAUGCUUGGACGUUACUCGCAGAAUAAGCACCGGCUAACUCUGUGCCAGCAGCCGCGGUAAUACAGAGGGUGCGAGCGUUAAUCGGAUUUACUGGGCGUAAAGCGUGCGUAGGCGGCUUUUUAAGUCGGAUGUGAAAUCCCCGAGCUUAACUUGGGAAUUGCAUUCGAUACUGGGAAGCUAGAGUAUGGGAGAGGAUGGUAGAAUUCCAGGUGUAGCGGUGAAAUGCGUAGAGAUCUGGAGGAAUACCGAUGGCGAAGGCAGCCAUCUGGCCUAAUACUGACGCUGAGGUACGAAAGCAUGGGGAGCAAACA
rnacentral:rRNA from 1 species